UGCAGACCUCCACUGUCACAGGACCUC
rnacentral:piRNA from 1 species